UGAGUUCUCGGUAAGUUUUUAUAAUUUUCUGAUUGUAAACGAUCCGGGUUAACGAUCAGGGUUUCUUUAUCUAAAUAUCUGAUUCUUACUCAUAUUGAUAGAUCUCUUAGAUCUAGCUCUAGAUCGAUCAUCAUUAUUAUCUUCUUACUCAGUUUUUGUUUCUAUUAAUUUGUCUUGCUCGCGGUAAGCUGACAGAGGAACUUGGUAUUUUAUUAGGUAAUUGGCAAGGAUUGUUUAAACGAUGGAUCUUUAAAAAGACAAAAGCAGAGAUUUAAAAAAGUAGAAGACAAACUUGACAGAGAUUUAAAAAAGUUAAGUCUGACCUUAGAUAUAAUCAUAUUACAUAUGUUCACAUCAACACAGUUUUUAUUUAUUCUCUUGUUGAUCUUUUGCUAUGUUUUCGUUUCUAUUAUUUC
rnacentral:lncRNA from 1 species